rnacentral:snRNA from 1 species
GGUGAGGGUGAUUUGGCCACAAUAUCUGCUGCACCAUGACCACCAGAGUUGACUCGUCUGACCUGGCUGGCUAGGCUGGUGUCAACUUUCCUUUCUCACUUUCAUGUACAUGUAUCCAGAAACUGUGUGCUUAGUGGAAGAGGACAACCAUCUCAAACAGGAGUGCAUCAUUUUUUGUAUGUAACUGCAUUAUAUAACUGUGCUCCCCUGCUAGAACCUCCAAACAAAUAACAGUGUUUGCCUUUCCAGUAUGGGAAAAGCAUAUCCGAAUUGACUCAGGGGAGAGUAACUUGUCAAACAGCAGCACACUACAGUUUGUCUUCCUAC